GGCCCAGUUCCCCCCGGGGUUUGGAUUUGCAGUAACAGGUGUGAACAUUCUAGCAGCAGUUUGAUGAUCAUGUAUGAUACUGCAAACAGGACCCGCGCGGAGGUCUGGCUUCCGC
rnacentral:pre_miRNA from 1 species